rnacentral:lncRNA from 1 species
ACUUGAAGGCCGCUUGAGGUGCCAAAAUAAAUCAAUAUCCACUUGAGGUGCCUAAGUGAAAAAUGACGCGUAAUUAAGAGUCUGGCGAUAAAUUUUGCCAAUUCUUUUCCAUCUCUGACUAGAUUAGAAAUUAACAAGCAAGUGAAAUUGCGCUCACCUUUUCUCCUUCUUGUUAUAUAUAACUUAAACUCUUAAUUAGAAACUGAGAAGCCCCAUCACAUGCAUUACAUGCAACUAAUUAACCAUUAACAUGAAGCCAUAUAUACACUGUGGAACAACCUGUCAUUUCUGCCAGAAGUGGAGUUUCUCAGCCAAUUAACAAAGAAACACUAGUUAAAUGGCCAAACAAAAAGCAAAUACCUUGAAUCAUCUCUAUUACUCUGUAUGUAAAAAGAAAAAAGUGAAGCCCGGUUCACUAAAACUCCCUCUAUGUGCAGGGUCCGAGGAAGCACCCGACCACAAGGAUCUAUUGUACGCAAUCUUACCUUGCAUUUCUGCCAGAAGUUGUUCUAAGGCUUGAACCCGUGGCCUUUAGGUCACAUCGCAACAACUUUACCAGUUACUCUAAGGCUCCCCUUCAAUUUCUCUCCGUAUAUAUGGUUCUUAAAAGAAUCAAGAUUUUCAAGGAACAAACAAACAGCCAAACCUUGAACUAGGAAAGAACAUUGUAAUUAACUAAUACAGUUAUCAAUACUUGUGGUGGUGAAAACUAGAAGAUACUGGAUAAACUAAUCCAUGUGGAACAACAACAUCAUGAUGGCCAGUCUAAUCUCACAAGUAGGGCAUGAGAGGGUAGAGUGUACGUGGACCUUACGCCUAACUUUGUUGAGAGGUUGUUUCCCAUAUACACACGUCUCAAAAAAAGCAAAACAAACCAGUUCAGAAAAAAAUAAGUUAAAGUGAAAAAGUCAUGACAAAAUAUUAUAUAAAGCAUAAAAGCAAUUCGAAGAAACGGAACAAUAACUACCAUAAAAUAGUACAUAUAACCGAAGUACAAGAAACAACAUACAGUAGUAGUAGCAGCAGAUAUAGGACAAGAAACUAGAAAGUACAAAUUAUAACAGAAACAGAACGAUAACAAACUACAAGAGUAAUACUACGACUACUAGUUUAGAAGGAUAAGAGUGACAAUGCUCAAACAAGACCAUCAUCAUGAAAAAUAAAAAAUAACAACUCAUAAGGGGGUGAAUGAAAGAAACUUGCCUUUCUUGAUUUAAACUUCUUCAUUGGAGAAGAAAAAACAGUUUUUCCAGAAGUGAAACAUGCUUCAGCAUGGAGAAGAAAAAACAGUUUUUCCAGAAGUGAAACAUGCUUCAGCAUUGUUUCUUUAUGAUAUAGGGGUAACAGAAAAUGAAUGAAAGAGGAUAAUAAAUAAAGAUGCUGAAGCUGGCAUCUGAAAUAUACCUUUUUCUAAUUGCUAUUUUCUCU